ACAGCUGCCCACUGACCGCCACACGCAGGUUCCCGUCUCCAAAAACCUUCACCACUUUCCCAACGCGGCCCAGAGCCUGCCCGGGGAGUGGGUAGGGUCACAGGCAGCCUCCCGGCGGGGGCAGGGGGGGGAAGGGGGGACUCACCGGGGCCAUGUCAUCGGUCCACUCGCCGUGCCCAGCCUGCAGCCGCUUCACCGUGUCAAGGUCGUCGAUGACCCGCACCACGUCCCCCACCCAGAAGGAGUUGUGCUGAGGGACAGAAAGGCACGUGAGGGUCCCCGGGCAGGUGUUGCUGCCCAGCGUCGAAGAGCAGGAGAGGACCCCCUUCCACCUCCCCACACAGGCUGGCCCGAACGUGCCCCCAGGCCCUGCCUGAGCCGUCAAAGGGUCUGGCUGGAUGAGGGGAGCCUUCUAGAAGGCAAGGCCAGCCUUGCCAGCUCCUGCCUGUGAGGCUGCGGUGGCUCCCUGCGGCCCUCGGAACAGACGCCAGCGCCUCACCCAGCGGGUCCCUUCACCCCUGGAUCUCCUGCAUGGAACUAACCCUUCUGGAACCCCAGCCUCCCCUCUUCCUUCAGGGCUGGAGGCAGGAAGGUUAAAGGGGGUGCAGAUGUGAUCAGGAGGGGCUCAGCCCAGCACCCCAGGCACCUUGGUGAGAGCCCCCGGGUGGAAGGUCCAGCGGAUCUUGUGGCUGAACUGCACACGCACGUCCCCACGGUCUGUGAUGCGGUGCACGGUGCCCGGCUGUCCGAUAAACUGUGGCGGGUCAUG